GCCAGGCGUGGUGGCUCACGCCUGUAAUCCCAGCACUUUGGGAGGCCGAGGCGGGUGGAUCACCUGAGGUCAGGAGUUUGAGACCAGCCUGGCCAACAUGGUGAAACCCUGCCUCUA
ensembl:misc_RNA Metazoa_SRP Metazoan signal recognition particle RNA